AGAGUUUGAUCAUGGCUCAGAACGAACGCUGGCGGCGUGCUUAACACAUGCAAGUCGAGUGCGCGUUCCGUAGCAAUACGGAAUGGCGCACGGCGCACGGGUGCGUAACACGUGGGUAACCUGCCCUUUGGUGGGGAAUAACUCCGCGAAAGCGGAGCUAAUUCCGCAUAAGAUCCGCAAGGAUGAAAGCCGAGAGGCGCCGAUGGAGGGGCCCGCGCACGAUUAGCUAGUUGGUAGGGUAACGGCCUACCAAGGCUUUGAUCGUUAGCUGGUCUGAGAGGAUGGCCAGCCACACUGGAACUGAGACACGGUCCAGACUCCUACGGGAGGCAGCAGUGGGGAUCUUGCACAAUGGGCGAAAGCCUGAUGCAGCGACGCCGCGUGGGGGAUGAAGCAUUUCGGUGUGUAAACCCCUUUCGAUCCGGACGAAUGCCCGCAAGGGAUUGACGGUACGGAUAUAAGAAGCCCCGGCUAACUACGUGCCAGCAGCCGCGGUAAGACGUAGGGGGCCAGCGUUGUUCGGAAUUACUGGGUGUAAAGGGUUCGUAGGCGGUGCGGCAAGUUGGGAGUGAAAUCUCUGGGCUUAACCCAGAGGCUGCUUCCAAAACUGCUGUGCUUGAGUGUGGGAGAGGCGCGUGGAAUUGCAGGUGUAGCGGUGAAAUGCGUAGAUAUCUGCAGGAACACCCGUGGCGAAAGCGGCGCGCUGGACCACUACUGACGCUGAGGAACGAAAGCUAGGGGAGCAAACAGGAUUAGAUACCCUAGUAGUCC
rnacentral:rRNA from 1 species